GGAUCAUGCAACCUCUGUUGCUGAGAUUCUGAAGGAAGACCCUCUUGUUGCCCGCUUGAAGGUUCCUUGGUGACUCAAAAUAUGACAAAGUAUUAAAGAUCUUUUAUGUGUGCGCCAUCAGGCUCGAAUGCAUGAGAUGAAGGAAAAGGACCACACAUAUGUGGGGAAUGCAGAUGCAAAUUCACAUGUAUGUAAAGUCUGUUUCGAAUCACUAACUUCUGC
rnacentral:misc_RNA from 1 species